GCAUAUCAAUAAGCGGAGGAAAAGAAACUAACAAGGAUUCCCCUAGUAACUGCGAGUGAAGCGGGAAAAGCUCAAAUUUAAAAUCUGAGGGUCUUUGUGGCCUUCCGAGUUGUAAUCUAGAGAAGUGUUAUCCAUUCUGGACCGUGU
rnacentral:rRNA from 1 species